rnacentral:rRNA from 1 species
UACAGAGGGUGCGAGCGUUAAUCGGAAUUAUUGGGCGUAAAGCGCGUGUAGGCGGCUUUGCAAGUCGGGUGUGAAAGCCCUCGGCUCAACCGAGGAAGUGCGCCCGAAACUGCAGAGCUUGAGUACCGGAGAGGAUGGCGGAAUUCCCCAAGUAGAGGUGAAAUUCGUAGAUAUGGGGAGGAACACCGGUGGCGAAGGCGGCCAUCUGGACGGAUACUGACGCUGAGACGCGAAAGCGUGGGGAGCAAACAGG